rnacentral:rRNA from 1 species
CGCUUUCUCCGCCGGCGACCGGCGCACGGGUGAGUAAUACGUAUGCAACCUGCCCCUGUCAGGGGGACAACCCGCCGAAAGGCGGGCUAAACCCGCGUACAUGCCACCGGGGCAUCCCGGAGGCAGGAAAGGCUUCGGCCGGACAGGGAUGGGCAUGCGGCGCAUUAGGCAGUAGGCGGGGUAACGGCCCACCUAACCGACGAUGCGUAGGGGUUCUGAGAGGAAGGUCCCCCACACUGGUACUGAGACACGGACCAGACUCCUACGGGAGGCAGCAG